UACAGAGGGUGCGAGCGUUGUUCGGAAUUAUUGGGCGUAAAGGGCGCGUAGGCGGCGCGGUAAGUCACCUGUGAAAUCUCCUGGGCUCAAAUCGUGGGAGCUUGCCAGGGCGAAACUGCCGUGCUGGAGUGUGGGAGAGGUGCGUGGAAUUCCUGGUGUAGCGGUGAAAUGCGUAGAGUAUCAGGAGGAACACCGGUGGCGAAGGCGGGUCUCUGGGCCGUAACUGACGCUGAGGAGCGAAAGCGUGGGGAGCGAACAGG
rnacentral:rRNA from 1 species